UACGGAGGGGGCUAGCGUUGUUCGGAAUUACUGGGCGUAAAGCGCACGUAGGCGGCUUUGUAAGUUAGAGGUGAAAGCCCGGGGCUCAACUCCGGAACUGCCUUUAAGACUGCAUCGCUAGAACGUCGGAGAGGUAAGUGGAAUUCCGAGUGUAGAGGUGAAAUUCGUAGAUAUUCGGAAGAACACCAGUGGCGAAGGCGACUUACUGGACGACUGUUGACGCUGAGGUGCGAAAGCGUGGGGAGCGAACAGG
rnacentral:rRNA from 1 species